rnacentral:rRNA from 1 species
CUACGGGGGGCAGCAGUGAGGAAUUUUGCGCAAUGGGGGCAACCCUGACGCAGCAACGCCGCGUGAGUGAAGAAGGCCUUUGGGUCGUAAAGCUCUGUCAACUGGGAAGAAGUUAAGAUUGUUUAAUAGAUGAUCUUAUUGACGGUACCAGUGGAGGAAGCGCCGGCUAACUCCGUGCCAGCAGCCGCGGUAACACGGGGGGCGCAAGCGUUAUUCGGAAUUAUUGGGCGUAAAGGGCGCGCAGGCGGUCUUGUCAGUCAGGUGUGAAAGCCCGGGGCUCAACCCUGGAAGUGCACUUGAAACAGAAAGACUUGAAUACGGGAGAGGAAAGCGGAAUUCCUGGUGUAGAGGUGAAAUUCGUAGAUAUCAGGAGGAACACCGAUGGCGAAGGCAGCUUUCUGGACCGAUAUUGACGCUGAGGCGCGAAGGCGUGGGUAGCGAACGGGAUUAGAUACCCUAGUAGUC